AACUAAUAAAGUAAACACAAAUACAACUAGCAAGUAAAAAACAAGCGUCAAUUGAGUCCAACAAAAAAAACAUGCGUCAAUUUAAAAGGAAUUUAUUGGGAGGAAAUCUUCCCAAAAGAGCGAUGAUCGCCUAAAAACUGAUGCGAUUUUGGUUUGGAUACGUAGUUGGCACGAGCAUACGAUCCAAGACGAGUCUCAAUAACUUACAUCACGCGAAGUCACUGAAACCGUUCAAAGCAGUGAUCGCUGUGGAACUUGUUUUAAUUUGUAUUUACCAUCAUGCCGCUAUCAAACUUGUGCACCAUUCUAGAGAAGAUAAUGAGUAAUGACAAACAAGUAGAGUAUUGUUACAUGAAUGUUGUUUGAUUUCCAGUACAGAAAUCAUGGCGUUUAUUUAGGUUCAAUUGUUAUAGGUUUUGCUCACAAAUUGCUUGAAAGUAUCACAUGAACUUGUCCUCCUCCUUUGAUCAUAACUUUGUUGUAAAGUCUAAGUUUGAUAGCGGGCCAUGCCAUUAAAUACACGGACGCAGGGGUUUGGUGUCAUUAAAGUAAAUCCUCGUAUUGUUUUAUGUCUUGUUCGUUUAAGUUUCUAAUUUGUGAUCAGAAGAAAAAAUAAAAACUCAUAACAGGGAACUAUAAUUAAAACUAAAGAAGAUUUAACGUACAUUGAUUUUACACAGUAGAUUUAGUUUUCUUUUGUAAAUACACAUUAUAUAUUUUUAUUCAACGAAAACAAUAUCAAUUGUCUCUACAAAAACCAACGGCCAGUACUCUUUUGCCCUAAAAAGACCGUAACCCUAAUUUUCACACAGAGAAUCUAACGAUUCAAAACAGGAAAAAGAGUUAGUGAUCACGAAAUGGAGAGAGAGAGAGAUAUAUAGUCAGACAUGUUUUAUUUAACUGUGUUUUAGAGCUGAACUGGAUCUCAGCUAAACACAAAAAAUUUCAAGAAAGUUUAAUCUUAAUCGUAUAAUCGAAACAAAUUCCUUUCCGGUAUUACCGAAACAAAGAAGCCAUCAUAGCACUCAACUUGACAACAUAUCGCUUACGAAAUCUUCCCAUGGUCUCAAACACAUCCUCGGAAGCAUACGCUAAAUCUCUAGAUUCACUUGACAACAAAGACGGCAAAAGCUUCAUCGCAAUGGCUAUGGAUCUUCUUCCUCAGUUUCUGCAUACUGACAUGUCAUGCAUCGGUAUGUGAGGAUUUCUCAUGAGGGACUCUUUCAUUGGUUGGUGAUAGGCUGAUAGCUAGGGUCGAUUCUAGAUGAUGGAUUUAUUAUUAGUAAUAUAGGUUUUAUUUAAUUGUGUCUUCUUUACCAAACUCGAAAUUUAAAAAAAUCUCAGAUAAGAGCUAAGCUGAACUGGAUCUCAGCUAAACACAAAAAUCUUCAAGAACCUUUUGUCUAAGUACAGUUCUAGAUAUGUAGAUUUAUGAUUUACAAUUUCUAGAUUCAUAAAUUAAGCUUCUACAAAACGGGCGCUUGUACAUUUUCUAACUAUUUUUCUUAUAACUUGCUUAUGUUUUCCAUAUAUUUUGCAUAGUUUUUUUCAACUUGUUUUCUUUUAAUCUUAUUUCAAAAAAUUAAACAUAUCAUUAGAUAUAAGCUUUUUCCACUUAGAAUGUCGCAUAACUACUUACUUUUUAGAAAUAUUUCUACUAAACCCAAAUAGGGUAAAAGGGGAUAACGCUGAUACCACUUUAAAUUUCUAAUCUAAAGGUGACGUUUUAUUAUGACAGAGAAAAUACGAAAUAGACGAUAUUAUGUUAUAUAGCAAGCCUUUUGACUUUAUAGAAGUGAGAAGCGAGGAUUAAGGGGUCAAAAAAAUGAAACAUAUAUAGAAAGUAAACUUUGAAAAAUAUAGGAGUUGGUGAAGAAAAUGAACAUGUUGGAGUCGAGGAUUCCCUAAUAUGUUCUAGAAAAUAUGAGCUUUUAGCAACUAUAAACGCGUCUUGGUCCAUCUUAGCUUACUUUUUGUAUGAACGCAAGACAAAUAUUGGAAUGACUGCAAAAUAAAAAAAAAGCGAAAACCAAAUAUUGGUCAAUCGAAAAGUAAGUGGAGACAAUAAAAGGCGAGCAAGAAAACCUCAAUGCUUUCUUAUUUUAAAACUAUUGAAAUUCACUGCAAAACAAAAACAAAAAAAAUGCUUAUUUCAAAUCGGACAUAUGUGCUUACGACUAAUGAAUAAUUAAUUCAAUCCAUGCACUAGCAGCAAUCCUUAUCCAUGAUCGUUAAAUUAAAUUAUUACUAAUAGACUUUAAGCAUUCCUUACACUAAUAAUGACAGUUUGGUACCUAUUUGAGGUGGGUUUUUACU
rnacentral:sRNA from 1 species